rnacentral:rRNA from 1 species
CACGUAGGGUGCGAGCGUUGUCCGGAAUUAUUGGGCGUAAAGAGCUCGUAGGCGGUGUGUCGCGUCGGCCGUGAAAACCUGCAGCUUAACUGUGGGCUUGCGGUCGAUACGGGCAUCACUGGAGUUCGGCAGGGGAGACUGGAAUUCCUGGUGUAGCGGUGAAAUGCGCAGAUAUUAGGAAGAACACCGGUGGCGAAGGCGGCUCUCUGGAACGGUACUGACGCUGAGACGCGAAAGCGUGGGGAGCGAACAGG